AUUGAACGCUGGCGGCAGGCCUAACACAUGCAAGUCGAGCGGAUGAAGGGAGCUUGCUCCUGGAUUCAGCGGCGGACGGGUGAGUAAUUCCUAUGAAUCUGCCUGGUAGUGGGGGAUAACGUCCUGAAACGGGCUCUAAUACCGCAUACGUUCUGAGGGAGAAAGUGGGGGAUCUUCGGACCUCACGCUAUCAGAUGAGCCUAGGUCGGAUUAGCUAGUUGGUGGGGUAAAGGCCUACCAAGGCGACGAUCCGUAACUGGUCUGAGAGGAUGAUCAGUCACACUGGAACUGAGACACGGUCCAGACUACUACGGGAGGCAGAAGUGAGGAAUAUUGGACAAUGGGCGAAAGCCUGAUCCAGCCAUGCCGCGUGUGUGAAGAAGGUCUUCGGAUUGUAAAGCACUUUAAGUUGGGAGGAAGGGCAGUAAGUUAAUACCUUGCUGUUUUGACGUUACCAACAGAAUAAGCACCGGCUAACUUCGUG
rnacentral:rRNA from 1 species